rnacentral:pre_miRNA from 1 species
CGAUCUUACUGGAACACAAGUUUUAUAUUGAUAAACUUGUGUCGCAGUAAGAUACU